rfam:Schistosoma rodhaini strain Burundi genome assembly, scaffold: SROB_scaffold0019632
AUCCAACUGACAAGUCCCGAAUAGGACGAAACUAGUGUUCUGGAU